CAACACAGUCUCACACCCUAUUCGUCACAUACUGCCGUUUGGUCAUGACCCCCUCACGUUCAUAGCGGACGUUGAGGGUACCCCCUAUUCGUCGCUUGAAAACGUAGAGGGUCGUCCUAUAGAUUUGAAUGCAAACCCCUCAUCUUUGAAUUUUGACGAAAUGGGUUUAUCGGUUUGCCUGCGCAAUAUGGUUUUAGGCGAUUGAUUUUAUGCUGCAAAUGUGCAUUUUGCACAAGCGUGCGGCGCAUAAACGGUUACAAUCAUUAUUGAUGCGGUGACCAAACAUUUUCGUGGAGCGGAAAGCCUUGUCUGAAUCGGUGUAUCACGACUUUUCUCUCUCUUUUUAUAUAGAUAUAUUUGGUAUACAAUAAAAUGACAUAUUUACAGGGCUGUAUUUGCUGUGUGUUUAAAACAUGCCUUAAUUAACGUAGAUAUUUUAUUAUUUUCGAUCACGCACAGUUGGUCAUUCCCCCUCACGUCUAUAAGCUGACGUUGAGGGUAUCCCCCAAUUCGUCGCUUGACAACGUAGAGGGGUCGUCCGAUAUUUGAAUCCAAAUCCCUCAUCUUUGGAUUUUGACGAAAUGGGGGUAUUCAUGCCUGCGCUGCAAAGUAUGUUUUAGGCGAUUGAUUUUAUGGUUCAAAUGUGUAUUUUGCAGUAGCGUGCGGCUGUUACAUUCAUUGGUGCGGUGACUACAUUUUCGUGGGGCAGAAUCCCUUGUCUGAAGCGGUAUCACGAAUUUCUCUCUCUUUAAGUUAUAUAUAAUAUAUAGUUCUACAUUAAAAUGACAUGUUUACAGGACUGUAUAUUUGCUGUAUGUUUAAUUAAGAUAGGACCCAGUCUCAAGGCAGUUCGUGUAAUUUAAUCUAUUGAUUCGUGUCCAUGGACACGACUUUCCCCUUUUUUCGUGCCAGUCAGAACGACUUUCAAUCUAAUGUAUUUCAAUAGGAAGUAUUUUUCGUGCCUGCACCACGUUUUUGUCCUAUUAUUUUUUUCGUGUUUAUAAGCACGAAUUUAAUCUAAUGUAUUGCAAUAGUAUAUACCAGGGAUUGUUUUACUUUAUUUUUCAUUAAUUGAUUACACUUUAAGCGCUACUUUACUCAACAUUUAAUCAGGAGAUGUUUAUCCUAUAAUAUUGAUUUUUCGAUCGGUUUCGUGUGUCAAAUACAAGAGUAAAUACUACAGUACCCAUGAGCCUUAUCGACAUCUACUAUGGUGAAGGCACCAGCUAAAACUACAUGUGGGCCCGCUGCAGAUCACAAUAUUUUCUCAAAACAUGAACACUAACGUGUGCUUGAUAAUUCAACAAUACGAUGUUAUGGCCAUCAAUUUUGAUUGUUUCUACUUUGAUUGUAAAAAAAAAUAAGUCAAUUUCGGACGCCUGCAUUUCCCAGAAUCCUCUCUGCCUCCGUUGCUAUGGAAUCUGAGCCAGUCCUCUUUGCUAUUGGGUGAUUUCUUCUUCGGUACUCGUGACAGGGAUUCUCUCAUUACGCGAAAAUCACUCCAGGUAAGUCAAGAUGCUUUCGUUUAAAGUUCACUAUUUGUUUAAAUGUUAUAAUUCACGCCUUUCUUUUGGCAUUAGGCUGACAUUGCCAUACCCGUACGAAAAUUAACCAUGUUUUUGUGGUAAAAGUGUAGUAACUACGGUUUGUGUAUCGAUUAUUUGCAUAAUGGUUUUACUAAACCAAACAUGGUAUAACUUUUUUUUUUCAAAUUCAUGGUUCUUUCUUAACUUGCAACCUAUCUCUAUAUACUGCAUCUGUUGUACCUGUCUGUCCAGCUGUGUGUUUGUCUUUCUGUCUUUGUCUGCUUUGCAAUGGCCACCAGAUAUACCCCUCACAAACAGGAUCCCCACUACCAAGAGGGGAGGCUCAUGGCUCUUGAGCUUAACCAUGACCACAUUCUAGCUGAAGCCAAGAGAGCAGCUGUGGAAACUAAACGUUUAUGCCCUAGAAGAGACCCUUCACAGACCUCUAAAAGGAUCUUUGUUGGCUGGGGCAAGCCGAGGGGGAGGCAAGGAGGGUGACGCCAAGCCUCAGCUACAGGUCACUUUUACAGGUUGAGUGCUUCCUGUCAUCCAGUGUGGAGAUUUCACCUAACUGUACCCUCAGCAAAACUAAAUCCUCAUGAGGAAUUUGGUGCAGAGAGUGGUUCUGUGGGGACCGUGAUGUAUUACGUCACAAAAAACAGCCACUCCACAAUAGGGAAUGUGUAAUUAAUAGGUUUUUUGUAGCCAUCCGUCCAACCAAAUGCAUCAUUAAAGGGGAAGAUGGAUAUUGCACUCAACACAAGGGUGUUUUGACUUGCAUCAGCCACUGUAUGUCUGUUAAACAUGCAAACAGCAAAGGACCCCAGACCUGAAAGACCUUCUGAGGAGUGGAUAUUGACCAGCUUCAAUAAACACCACCACACUUUACACACUGGACCUCCUGAUCUCCUUUCAAGAACUCAAGGUCAUCUCUCCAAGAUUCUCCAGACAAGCCUUCGCAAAGCUGCUGGAGCAUCGCACGAAGUGUGGAGGAAGAUCUGGAUAUAUCAACGGCGAUGCACUGCAACGCAGCUUCUUGGAGUUUUCAUACUCUUCAUUUGAAGCAGACCAGCUCUGCUGUGGUGCUCCUUUCACCUGCCCAGCCUGAACGCUAGAAUUGUUGGCUGCUUCAGCAGAUGGAAACAGAAAGCUAUAUCGCUUUUGCCCAAACAGAAGGUGGUCUUUAUUCCAGUAUUUUUAUUGGUUUAUUUAUUUACUUUAAUUGAUGGAUUUCCUAUUUUUCUUUCUUAGCUCUGGUGAUCCUGUUUUUUGUUUUCUUUUUUGAGGGGCCUUUUGUGGCUGAAGACAGUGCGGUGUCUAGAUUUGUCAACACCAUACAAAAAGCACUGAAAAUGCAAUUUUAAUCAUAACUUGACAAAAUAGUUGUUACACAAAAAAAUCUUGUUCGGAGUUGAUUUCUACUUUUGCCUACCAAGUACUCCUAAAUCAAAUUAGGAAUAAAUGCCAUAUACUGUAUUGUAUGACACCAUCACUUUAAUUUGAUUUGUUGUGUUUGUUGUGUGUUUCAUAGACUGUGGCUUGCAAAUAUUGGCCAUUUGAAGAAAGUUGCUAGUGUCCUUCCUGAUCUUCAGGAGCUGACCUCAAUGAAACCUUUCCUUAAUGUUAUGCAUGCUUGAGCCACACAAAAAAGUUUGAGAUUAAAUGAAGUGGUAGGAACCAGGAAGGAACAGGGACAACCACCGGGGUGGACAUGCUUACAUUGCAUGCAAUGGGCUCUAACCAUAAAAAAGUAUCUCUCUACAUCAGGCACUUUCCACAAUAUAUGUGAAAGUAAGUUUUUAUUUUUAUUUUUUUAUAAAUGUUUUGUGUGUCUUUUAGUUGUUGUGUGCAUUUUGCCUGUUGUUAAUUGUACAAUGUACAACAAUCCUGAUUAUUGAAUAACACUGUUUAUCAGACAUCCAGCACGAGACUGCAAGGCUAGCAGAACUAAAAACAAAGCUACAUCGCACAGAUAAAGGAACGUCACAAUGGCUUUCUGAUGUGAAAGAAUGGGUAGCUCGUGGUACUACUAUGUGAAAUUUUUAGUUUGAUAUUAAACAAGUGCCAAAGAUGGUAGGCUUAUCAUCUAUUUCUUAACCUCCUAAGACCUGGUGUGUCCACAUACAUGGACAUCACAUUUUUUGUUGUUUGCAUCAUAAUACUUUAUUCUGUGUAACUGGAACCUGGUACACAAACAUGAACAAUUACACUGCUUCAUUUUCAAAAAAAAAUAUUUGGUUAAUAUAUUUAUUGAUUUUUCCUGACCCCAAAUAGCUGGAAGAAAUCUAAAAUGCAAGCCAAACCAAAGCUCGGGUCUUAGGAGGUUAAACAGUUGGUGACAUCUCCUGCCACCAUAAACAAGCCAACUUCAU